AGAGUGAACGCUGGCGGUAGCCCUAACACAUGCAAGUCGAACGGCAGCACAGUAGGAGCUUGCUCUUACGGGUGGCGAGUGGCGGACGGGUGAGGAAUACAUCGGAAUCUACCUUUUGGUGGGGGAUAACGUAGGGAAACUUACGCUAAUACCGCAUACGCCCGUUCGGGGGAAAGCCGGGACCAGCAAUGGCCUGGCGCUGAUAGAUGAGCCGAUGUCGGAUUAGCUAGUUGGUGAGGUAAUGGCUCACCGAAGGCGACGAUCCGUAGCUGGUCUGGAGAGGAUGAUCGAGCCACACUGGAACUGAGACGUACCGGUCCAGACUCCGUACGGGAGCAGCAGGUGGGAAAUAGUUGGAACAAGUCGGGACGCGAACGCC
rnacentral:rRNA from 1 species